ACUUAUACUUGGGAGAUAAAGCCAAACAUGAUGAAAUAGCUGCACAGUGGACACUGAGAUUUGCAAGGUGAAAGAAGAACUUGAUGUGGAACUUUUUUAACGAGUUCAGGUCAGCCAUUGCUUAGUUUGAAGUUUAACAAGCAUAGAAGAGCUGUUGUAGACGAUAUUUAAACUUACAACCUGUAUAUAAUUCAUAUAAAUAAAUUCAACUUCUGUUAAACUAACUUUACAAAUUUCACAUUUAGACCUGUUGCUUUAUUUGUUUGUUGAAUAGUUCUUUCCUUCAUUUACACGUCCUUGAGGCUGAACCAAUAAAACAGAAUGAAACUGGAGGACAGGUUUUACCCUAAAAUUCGAUUAAUCUUGCAUCAUGUGAAGUUUUUUUUUUUUUUUUUUGGUUCUUACCUGUAUAUAAUUCAUAUAAAUAAAUUCAACUUCUGUUAAACUAACUUUACAAAUUUCACAUUUAGACCUGUUGCUUUAUUUGUUUGUUGAAUAGUUCUUUCCUUCAUUUACACGUCCUUGAGGCUGAACCAAUAAAACAGAAUGAAACUGGAGGACAGGUUUUACCCUAAAAUUCGAUUAAUCUUGCAUCAUGUGAAGUUUUUUUUUUUUUUUUUUGGAUCUUUUAUUGAAAGCAAGUAGAACUAGUCAGAGUCAUUACAAAGAGGAACUGAACGCCAUGUUAGAACAUGACGUUGUGCCCGUUAGUUGUAGUUGCAUCACAGUUCCUCCCAAAGCUUGCUAAGGGAUUCCACCACAACAUUGUCAUCUCGAUAAACAUGGCGAACUUCAGUAGGCCCAUUGCACCCAGGUUGAACCUGCAGUUAAUUCCAUACUUUGUAUGUUGUGUAUUCAUUGUUUUUUUGUUUCUUGAACUCCAUGUUUAACAUCUAAUGUUAUGAUGUAGAUAGAGGAAGAAAGAGAAUUUCCCACCCUCUUUUUCUGGUUAUAUUAUUUUAAGAAAAAGUCAACCUUAUACUUAGUAGGAUGCCAUUACUUGGGGGUAUCCUUCCUUUUUAGUGGGUGGCCAUGAAGGCUCUUAGUACUGACCUAGUCUUUAUUUGAACUUUGCUAUCAUCUUAGUGGCUAACCAUGAAGCAAAUACAUAAAUGUUAAGAAGGAUGUCACAAUUGGACUAUAAAAACCAGAGAUCCUAACUCCACCAUGCAACACAAGUCUUAGUUCUAUCCUUUCUUUUCUCUCCAAGAAUCACAAUGAGAAGCUUUUGGAAUUUGGGGAAAUUGCCUCUACUAGCAUUUGCUUUGGCAAUUUGCUUUGUAGCCAGCACUGUUGUUGCUGAUUACUCUUAUGGCUAUACUUCUCCCUCACCUUCUUACACCUCUAAGAAGUACUACAAAUCACCAUCUCCAUCCAACUAUCAUGAACCAACUCCAUACUACAAGAAACCGGAGAAACAUGCUGAACAUUCUCCAUCACACUAUUACAAGUCACCGGUGCCUUCCAAGCACGACUAUUACAAGUCCCCUACUCCUUCAAAGCAUUACUACAAAUCACCAGUAGUAGUGAAGUAUUACAAAUCACCAGUUCCUUCAAAGAAGUACUACUACAAGGCACCUUCCCAUUCAAACAAGUACUACAAGGCCCCUGCUCCUUCAAAGAAGUACUACAAGUCCCUUGCCCCUUCAAAGAACUAUUACAAGUCACCAUCUCCUGCAAAGUACUACAAAUCUCCUUCACCUGCAAAAUACUACAAGUCACCUGCUCCAUCAAAUCACUAUUAUUAUAAGUCACCAUCCCCUACAAAAUACUACAAAUCUCCAUCGCCUGCAAAAUACUACAAGUGGCCUUCACCAUCAAAUCACUAUUACUACAAGUCACCAUCUCCAACAAAAUAUUACAAGUCACCCGCUCCUUCUAAAUACUAUAAAUCUACCCCUUACUACAAGUCCCCUCCACCUCCCCCAUACUACAAAGAAUCUACCCCUUACUACAAGUCCCCUCCACCUCCCCCAUACUACAAAGAAUCUACCCCUUACUACAAGUCCCCUCCACCUCCCCCAUACUACAAAGAAUCUACCCCUUACUACAAGUCCCCUCCACCUCCCCCAUACUACAAAGAAUCUACCCCUUACUACAAGUCCCCUCCACCUCCCCCAUACUACAAAGAAUCUACCCCUUACUACAAGUCCCCUCCACCUCCCCCAUACUACAAAGAAUCUACCCCUUACUACAAGUCCCCUCCACCUCCCCCAUACUACAAAGAAUCUACCCCUUACUACAAGUCCCCUCCACCUCCCCCAUACUACAAAGAAUCUACCCCUUACUACAAGUCCCCUCCACCUCCCCCAUACUACAAAGAAUCUACCCCUUACUACAAGUCCCCUCCACCUCCCCCAUACUACAAAGAAUCUACCCCUUACUACAAGUCCCCUCCACCUCCCCCAUACUACAAAGAAUCUACCCCUUACUACAAGUCCCCUCCACCUCCCCCAUACUACAAAGAAUCUACCCCUUACUACAAGUCCCCUCCACCUCCCCCAUACUACAAAGAAUCUACCCCUUACUACAAGUCCCCUCCACCUCCCCCAUACUACAAAGAAUCUACCCCUUACUACAAGUCCCCUCCACCUCCCCCAUACUACAAAGAAUCUACCCCUUACUACAAGUCCCCUCCACCUCCCCCAUACUACAAAGAAUCUACCCCUUACUACAAGUCCCCUCCACCUCCCCCAUACUACAAAGAAUCUACCCCUUACUACAAGUCCCCUCCACCUCCCCCAUACUACAAAGAAUCUACCCCUUACUACAAGUCCCCUCCACCUCCCCCAUACUACAAAGAAUCUACCCCUUACUACAAGUCCCCUCCACCUCCCCCAUACUACAAAGAAUCUACCCCUUACUACAAGUCCCCUCCACCUCCCCCAUACUACAAAGAAUCUACCCCUUACUACAAGUCCCCUCCACCUCCCCCAUACUACAAAGAAUCUACCCCUUACUACAAGUCCCCUCCACCUCCCCCAUACUACAAAGAAUCUACCCCUUACUACAAGUCCCCUCCACCUCCCCCAUACUACAAAGAAUCUACCCCUUACUACAAGUCCCCUCCACCUCCCCCAUACUACAAAGAAUCUACCCCUUACUACAAGUCCCCUCCACCUCCCCCAUACUACAAAGAAUCUACCCCUUACUACAAGUCCCCUCCACCUCCCCCAUACUACAAAGAAUCUACCCCUUACUACAAGUCCCCUCCACCUCCCCCAUACUACAAAGAAUCUACCCCUUACUACAAGUCCCCUCCACCUCCCCCAUACUACAAAGAAUCUACCCCUUACUACAAGUCCCCUCCACCUCCCCCAUACUACAAAGAAUCUACCCCUUACUACAAGUCCCCUCCACCUCCCCCAUACUACAAAGAAUCUACCCCUUACUACAAGUCCCCUCCACCUCCCCCAUACUACAAAGAAUCUACCCCUUACUACAAGUCCCCUCCACCUCCCCCAUACUACAAAGAAUCUACCCCUUACUACAAGUCCCCUCCACCUCCCCCAUACUACAAAGAAUCUACCCCUUACUACAAGUCCCCUCCACCUCCCCCAUACUACAAAGAAUCUACCCCUUACUACAAGUCCCCUCCACCUCCCCCAUACUACAAAGAAUCUACCCCUUACUACAAGUCCCCUCCACCUCCCCCAUACUACAAAGAAUCUACCCCUUACUACAAGUCCCCUCCACCUCCCCCAUACUACAAAGAAUCUACCCCUUACUACAAGUCCCCUCCACCUCCCCCAUACUACAAAGAAUCUACCCCUUACUACAAGUCCCCUCCACCUCCCCCAUACUACAAAGAAUCUACCCCUUACUACAAGUCCCCUCCACCUCCCCCAUACUACAAAGAAUCUACCCCUUACUACAAGUCCCCUCCACCUCCCCCAUACUACAAAGAAUCUACCCCUUACUACAAGUCCCCUCCACCUCCCCCAUACUACAAAGAAUCUACCCCUUACUACAAGUCCCCUCCACCUCCCCCAUACUACAAAGAAUCUACCCCUUACUACAAGUCCCCUCCACCUCCCCCAUACUACAAAGAAUCUACCCCUUACUACAAGUCCCCUCCACCAUACUGAUAUCAAUCCGACUUAAGUAGGAAAACAUAUUUGAGGCUGAACCAAUAAAGCAGAAUGAAACUGAAGGACAGGUUCUACCCUAAAAUUCAAUUAAUCUUGCAUCAUGUGAUGUUCUCAUUGUUUUGGAUCUUUUAUUGAAAGCAAGUAGAACUAGUUGGAGUCAUUACAAAGAGGAACUGAAUGCCAUGGUAGAACAUGACGUUGUGCCCGUUAGUUGUAGUUGCAUCACAGUUCCUCCCAUCGCUAAGGGAUUCCACCACAAAAUUGACUUCUUGAUAGACAUGGCGAACUUCCGGUAGGCCCAUUGCUCCCAGGUUGAACCUGCAAUUAAAUCCAUACAUUGUAUGUGUAUUCACUGUUUUUUCUUGAACUCCAUGUUUAACAUCUAAUGUUAUGGUGUAGAUAGAGGAAGAAAGAGAAUUUCCCACCCUCUUUUUCUGGUUAUUUUAUUUUAAGAAAAAGUCAACCUUAUACUUAGUAGGAUGCCAUAACUUAGGAAUAUCCUGCCUUUUUAGUGGGUAACCAUGAAGGCUCUUAGUACUAACCUAGUCUUUAUUUGAUCUUUGCUAUCAUCUUAGUGGUUAACCAUGAAGCAAAUACAAAAAUGUUAAGAAGGAUGUCACAAUUGCAGUAUAAAAACCAGAGAUCCUAACUCAACUAUGCAACACAAGUCUUAGUUCUAUCCUUUCUUUUCUCUCCAAGAAGCACAAUGAGAAGCUUUUGGAAUUUGGGGAAAUUGCCUCUACUAGCAUUUGCUUUGGCAAUUUGCUUUGUAGCCAGCACUGUUGUUGCUGAUUACUCUUAUGGCUAUACUUCUCCCUCACCUUCUUACACCGCUAAGAAGUACUACAAAUCACCAUCUCCAUCCAACUAUCACGAACCAACUCCAUACUACAAGAAACCGGAAAAACAUGCUGAAUAUUCUCCGUCACACUAUUACAAGUCACCGGUGCCUUCCAAGCACGACUAUUACAAGUCCCCUACUCCUUCAAAGCAUUACUACAAAUCACCAGUAGUAGUGAAGUAUUACAAAUCACCAGUUCCUUCAAAGAAGUACUACUACAAGGCACCUUCCCAUUCAAACAAGUACUACAAGGCCCCUGCUCCUUCAAAGAAGUACUACAAGUCCCCUGCCCCUUCAAAGAACUAUUACAAGUCACCAUCUCCUGCAAAGUACUACAAAUCUCCUUCACCUGCAAAAUACUACAAGUCACCUGCUCCAUCAAAUCACUAUUAUUAUAAGUCACCAUCCCCUACAAAAUACUACAAAUCUCCAUCGCCUGCAAAAUACUACAAGUGGCCUUCACCAUCAAAUCACUAUUACUACAAGUCACCAUCUCCAACAAAAUAUUACAAGUCACCCGCUCCUUCUAAAUACUAUAAAUCUACCCCUUACUACAAGUCCCCUCCACCUCCCCCAUACUACAAAGAAUCUACCCCUUACUACAAGUCCCCUCCACCUCCCCCAUACUACAAAGAAUCUACCCCUUACUACAAGUCCCCUCCCCCUCCACCAUACUACAAAGAGUCUACCCCUUACUACAAGUCUCCUCCACCUCCCCCAUACUACAAAGAAUCUACCCCUUACUACAAGUCCCCUCCACCUCCCCCAUACUACAAAGAAUCUACCCCUUACUACAAGUCCCCUCCACCUCCCCCAUACUACAAAGAAUCUACCCCUUACUACAAGUCCCCUCCACCUCCCCCAUACUACAAAGAAUCUACCCCUUACUACAAGUCCCCUCCACCUCCCCCAUACUACAAAGAAUCUACCCCUUACUACAAGUCCCCUCCACCUCCCCCAUACUACAAAGAAUCUACCCCUUACUACAAGUCCCCUCCACCUCCCCCAUACUACAAAGAAUCUACCCCUUACUACAAGUCCCCUCCACCUCCCCCAUACUACAAAGAAUCUACCCCUUACUACAAGUCCCCUCCACCUCCCCCAUACUACAAAGAAUCUACCCCUUACUACAAGUCCCCUCCACCUCCCCCAUACUACAAAGAAUCUACUCCUUCCUAUAAAUCACCUCCACCUCCACCAUACUACAAAGAAUCUACUCCUUCCUAUAAAUCCCCUCCCCCUCCCCCCCACCACACCCUCCCCCUCCACCAUACUACAAAGAAUCUACUCCUUCCUAUAAAUCCCCUCCCCCUCCACCAUACUACAAAGAAUCUACUCCUUCCUAUAAAUCCCCUCCCCCUCCACCAUACUACAAAGAAUCUACACCUUCCUAUAAAUCUCCUCCACCCCCAUCAACCUACUAUUAAAAUAGUUACUAAUUCUAUCAUUUCCACCAUUUCCAUGAAUUCUAACUCCUACUUUGAGUAUCUCUAUUUCCUCAGCCAAAAUUUUAUGUAUUCUUCAAGAAGGUUUUGCUUGUUUUGUGUGUUCCUUUCUUUUAAUAAUUUGUAAUAUGCAUUGUUUGAGAUCCUCAAGAUCUCCGUCAGUUUGGUUCAUUGUAUCAAGAUUCUUUUUGAUGUAAUCUCUUGAGAGUUCCACUUUGUGUAAUACUAUCUUCUUCUUUAUCAAAUAUUGUGUUCUCUUAUUGGUUGAGUUCUUGACUUCUUUCAUUGUUCCAUAAGCAUUCACCUUAUGGACAUCUAUGCUAAACUCUUAUAUGAAGAGAAACCACAUCUGAGUAUAGUUUGGUAACUGUACUCAUUAACUUUUGAGAAAGCAAAAUUAUGUACAAUAAACAGAAUAAGAAAGAAAUAAAGAUGCAUUUAAACUAAGAAAAUGCAUCAUUUCGACAAUUCUUUUCUAAGAUAGAGAAGAGGAAAAGGCGACGUAGUCAAGGUUUAUCGACAUUUUUCUCUUUAAAGAUUACUCUUUUCAUUAUUGAUUUUUCCUUCUGCGAAGAUGUAACCAAGUUUCAGAUUUGUUAGAAAAGUAUUCUUAGUCUUAUAGGUUAAAUUAAAAACUAUAUGUGCAACUCCAACAUUAUUGCCUCCAUUAAGUUACUAAUAAAUUAACAAACAAUUCGUACGGAAAUGGGAUCCCAAUAUCAAGAGACAAAAGAUUCUUAUGAGAAAACACAAUUAAACGAGCCUCUACUUGAACCUCCAAGGAUAAAGGUACAUGAACAACCAUUUGAUCUCCAUAAAAAUCGGUAUAGAAUCCCUUGAAAACUAAUGGAUGUAAACAAAUAGCGUCCCUCCACUAAAACAGGCUGGAAUGCCUGUAUGCCUAAUCUAUGCAGAUUGGAUGCUCUAUUCAGCAAUAUAGGAUGUCCCUGCGUAACUUCUUGAUCAGUAAAAAAGAAUAAUCUUCUUAUGUAGUUAUUUUUUUUGAUAAAGGUAACUUUAUAUUCAUGUCAAAACUCAUCAGCAGAGCAUGAUGAGGUGGGAUUUGUAAUCUUCUUAUGUAGUUAUUCAUAAGUUGUUAUCCCCUUACAUCUAACUAUUAAAUAAAUAAGUUUCAUACCCCAAGAACACGAAAAGAAAUAUACUGAUAUCAAUCCGACUUAAGUAGGAAAACAUAUUUGACGAGGAGAAUGUAGAGUCUGAAUAAUGAAGACUUGGGAAAAAUUAAGACAUCAAGAUUUUUCCGAUAGAAGUUCUGGAAACCUCAGUGUAGUUGGCGUUGUUAAUGGAGAAUAUGUGACAUUUGACUCUAAUUUUCUUAGUUGCAAUUUUCUCAAUCUUUAUUCUGUGUUCUGUCAUUUGUAAAGGGGGAUUUAAAGAGUGAAGGUUUAUAUAAAGACAUUUUGGGGUUCAUAAGACUAGUUACAUACUAUUGCACAUGAACUAUUGGGAUGAGCUUGUGCAUUGAACAUUGGGAUCAUCUCAGGUGUACUUCUGGACACUUGAGGUGUAAGUAUCGCGAGACUACUAUCUCUACGUCUGUCCCAAAGUAUCUCAUCUCUAUAUGAGUCCCUGACGAGUCUCGAGUCUGCCUUCCAUCCGUGAUCCUCAGACCAAAAUGUUAUAUAAGGUGUAAUCUGGUAUGAUUAUCCACUGUUCAAUAGUAAAGUCAACUUGUAGAUUCUUCUUCUGGAAUUGCUAUUCUUUUACUUUGCCAAUGGGAUGACAGUUGUGGCAUUCCUCUUCUUAUUUUUCUUUUUUUGUUCCUAAAUUAUUUCUUCAUCAUGAAAUUUUUUUCUAAAAGAAAGAAGUCAUGGAUAAAUGCUUCCCACUAAGUACUGACUUAGUCUUUAUUUUGACUUAGGCAUCAUCUUAGUGGCUAACCAUGAAGCCAUUACAUGACUGUUAAGAAGACUAUCAAUUUGUAGUAUAAAUCUAGAGGUUCCUACUCAACUAUGCAACACAAGUCUUAGUUCUAUCCUCCUCUUCUCCAAGUUUAGUUGGUUGAAAAAGCAAAUGAGAAGCUUUGGAAAUUUGGGGCAAUGGCCUCUACUUGCAUUUGCUUUGGCAAUUUGCUUUGUAGCCAGCACUGUUGUUGCUGACUACUCUUAUGACUAUACUUCUCAUUCACCUUCUUACAAUUCUAAGAAAGACUACAAAUCACCUUCUCCAUACUACAAGAAACCGGAAAAACAUGUUGAACAUUCUCCAUCGCAUUACUAUUACAAGUCGCAUGCUCCUUCAAAACACUACUAUAAGGCACCUGUUAUUGCGAAGUAUUACCAGUCACAUGCUCCUUCAAAGCACUACUACAAGGCACCUAUUGUUACGAAGUAUUACAAGUCACACGCUCCUUCAAAGCACUACUACAAGGCACCUGUUGUUACGAAGUAUUACAAGUCACCUGCUCCUUCGAAACACUACUACAAGGCUCCAGUGGUAGUGAAGUAUUACAAGUCACCAGCUCCUUCAAAGAAUUACUACAAGGCACCUGUCCCUUCAAAGGAGUACUACAAGUCGCCAGCUCCUUCAAAGUACUACUACAAGUCGCCAUCACCUGCAAAGUACUACAAGUCGCCUGCUCCAUCAAAGCACUAUUACUACAAGUCCCCAUCCCCUUCAAAAUAUUACAACUCACCCGCUCCUUCCAAAUACUAUAAAUCACCUGCACCACAAAAAUAUUACAAGUCACCAGUUUACUACAAGUCUCCUCCCCCACCACCAACUUAUUAUGAGAAAUCACCUUCUUACUACAAGUCCCCUCCCCCUCCACCAUACUACAAAGAAUCUACCCCUUACUACAAGUCCCCUCCUCCUCCCCCAUACUACAAAGAAUCUACUCCUUACUACAAGUCCCCUCCACCUCCCCCAUACUACAAAGAAUCUACUCCUUACUACAAGUCCCCUCCACCUCCCCCAUACUACAAAGAAUCUACUCCUUACUACAAGUCCCCUCCACCUCCCCCAUACUACAAAGAAUCUACCCCUUCUUAUAAAUCUCCUCCCCCUCCACCAUACUAUGAAGAAUCUACGCCUUCUUAUAAAUCCCCUCCACCUCCACCAUAUUACAAAGAAUCUACACCUUCCUAUAAAUCUCCUCCACCCCCACCAAAGUACUAUGAGCAAUCUCCUACAACCUAUAACUCACCACCUCCACCACCACCAGCCUAUUACAAGCAAACUCCCACCUAUGCCUCACCUCCACCACCUCAGAAGUACGAGCAAUCUGUCACCUAUGCUUCACCUCCACCCCCGCCAGCUUCUCCCCCACCGACGUACUACUAAACAUUCAAUAACUCUAUCAUUUCCAUGACUUCUACAUCCUAUUUUGAUUUCAUUCCCUCUUCCAAAAUUUAAUGUAUGCUUGUCAAAAUGAUCAGCUUUGCUUACUGUAUGUUCAAUAUUGUUUUGUUCUAAUGAUUUGUAUUUUGUUUUAUGUCUUCAUUAGUUUUUCUCAUUGUAUCAAGAUCAAUAGUUUGUUACCUAUCUUCUCUUCUUUGUGUAAUAUUCUGUGGUUUUAAUCGACUUAAUUCUUUCAAGUAUAGUAUACCUCCAUAACAUAUAUUUGAUGAUACAGAAAGAUACAAAAGGUUAGUUGGGAAACUAAACUACCUUACAGUGACCCGUCUGAUAUUGGCUAUGCAGUUAGUAUUGUCAGUCAGUUCAUGUCUGCACGAACAGUUAACAUUGGGUAGUCUUGGAACAGAUCUUGUGUUGUUUGAAAGGAGCCGAAGGAACUGACGGAACUCUAUUUCGAGACUCGGAACUCCAAAUGUUGACUAAAGUCAAUCAUUUCAACUUAAAAGCUUCCAAAACUCCAAAACUUAUAAAAAUCUCAACUUUAUGAUUUGGUUUCAAAUCUAACCUCAUAAGCUUAUCAAACAUGACUCAGGGCAACUAUUGAGAGGGGUAAAACGGUAAUUUUUCCAAAAAAAUGAAUCCAAAUAUGACCUUCAGGGUCAUUACACACUUUGUUCCCGAGAAGAUAGAGAACAUGAUUUCUACUGGUUAUGUAAAGACGAGAGAAAACAGGUAAUAUAUUAAAGAAGGCUUUAAAUGGUACUCGUGUGGAGUAUCUUUGUAACAUGUUGGACAUGAUUAAUAUCUAUACUCCAACUUAAGGGGGAGUGCUACAUAAUGAAUAUAGACGCAUCUUCAUACAAUCGUAGGUUGAGAUAUUAGGGAUUUUAUGAUUUUGUUUUCUUAGAUAGAUUUACUUGUACACCUACAAAUAGCUCACUCUUGGAAUAAUACGAUAAGGAGAUUCGUUCCAUUGUCUCUUUAUUAUACAAUAAGCCUUCUUUGACAUGCUAUCCAUUUUUUGGAUUGUAAUUAUACUUAUCAACUUUUGAAAAAGAAAAUUAUAUAAAGCAAAAAGAAAUAGAGUCAUAAGUUAAUAAAUUAACCAACAACUCCAACAUUGCGGCUUCCAUUAAGUUAAUAAAUUAACCAACAACUCAUAACACUAUGAUAUUCAUUAGUAAAAGAUUAAUCUUCUUAUGUAGUUAUUUGUAAAUUGUUACCUCUUACUAGAGGGGCGUACCCAUUAUCCACCGAGUUUAGAAGGUUGUGAUUGGUCCAAAGGGCGGGUCACAUGCAAAUUUCUCGGUUAUCAAAAAAAAAAAUUGUUACCCUUUACAUGUUUUAACUAAUAAAUAAAUGUCAUACCCCAUGAACAUGAAGAGGACAAUAUUGUUAUCAAUCUGACUUAAGUAACUAAAAAAACAGAUUUGAAGACGAAAAUAUUGAGUUUGAUUAACAAAGACUCAGCUAAAAAUAAGACAUAUCAAGAUGUUUCCGAUAAAAGGUGUUGUGAAACCUCUCUGUAUUUAGCAUUCUUGACGAAGAAUAUGUGACAUUUGACUCUAAUCUUUUUACUUGCAAUUUUCUUAACUCAUUGUUUUUUUUUAUAUCAGUGAAGGGUGAUUUAGAAAGACUAAGUACAUAGAUUGCACAGGAACUAUUGAGACAAGCCCCGUGUGUUGGACGUUUGAUGCCUCUCAGGUAUACAUGCUGACACUUGAGGUGUAAGUCUCGCUGAGGCAACAACCUCUACAUCUGUCCCAAAGUACCUCAUCUCGAGUCCCUAACGAGUCUCAAGUUUGCCUUCCAUGUGUGAUCCUCUGUAAGUUUUUGAACUUCUUGUUCAGUUUUUGUACUAGUGAACAUAUAGAUUCUUGUUCUGCAAAUAAUCAUUCUUUUACUUUCCCAAUGGGAUGGAAGUUGUGGCAUUCCUCUUCUAAUCUUCUCAUUUUCUUUUUUUAUGUUUCUAAUGAUUUGUUCAAUCAUUAGAAUAAGUUUUAAGAAAAAAAGUUGUGGAAAAAUGCUUCCCACUAAGUAUUCAUGACCUAGUCUUUAUUUGGACUUUGCUAUGAUAUUAGUGGCUAACCAUGAAGGAUGCUACUUUGCUACUAUAAAAACUAGACAUCUCAACUCAACUAUGCAACACAAGUCUUAGUUUUAUCCUUCUUUUUACAAUCAAAAUGAGAAGCUUUGGGAAUUUGGGGCAAUUGCCUCUACUAGCAUUUGCUUUGGCAAUUUGCUUUGUAGCCAGCACUGUUGUUGCUGAUUACUCUUAUGGCUAUACUUCUCCUUCAACUUCUUACACCUCUAAGAAGUACUACAAAUCACCAUCUCCAUCUCCAUACUACAAGAAACCGGAGAAACAUGCUGAACAUUCUCCGUCACACUAUUACAAGUCCCCUACUCCUUCAAAGCACUACUACAAAUCACCGGUAGUAGUAAAGUAUUACAAAUCACCGGCUCCUUCAAAGAAAUACUACAAGUCGCCUUCCCCUUCAAAGUACUAUUACAAGUCGCAUGCCCCUUCUAAGAAGUACUACAAGUCACCAUCCCCUUCAAAGAAGUACUACAAAUCUCCAUCGCCUGCAAAAUACUACAAGUCGCCUGCUCCAUCAAACAACUAUUACUACAAGUCACCAUCCCCUGUAAAGUACUACAAAUCUCCUUCGCCUGCAAAAUACUACAAGUCGCCUGCUCCAUCAAACAACUAUUACUACAAGUCACCAUCCCCUGUAAAGUACUACAAAUCUCCAUCGCCUGCAAAAUACUACAAGUCGCCUGCUCCAUCAAAGAACUAUUACUACAAGUCACCAUCCCCUGUAAAGUACUACAAAUCUCCAUCGCCUGCAAAAUACUACAAGUCGCCUGCUCCAUCAAAGAACUAUUACUACAAGUCACCAUCCCCUGUAAAGUACUACAAAUCUCCAUCGCCAGCAAAAUACUACAAGUCACCUGCUCCAUCAAAGCAUUAUUACUAUAAGUCACCAUCCCCAUCACAAUAUUACAAAUCACCCGCUCCUUCUAAGUA
rnacentral:lncRNA from 1 species